GUUUUAUAAGAAAGUUGAGUGAAACGUGAAGUACAGAACAGAAAAUUGUUUUCUGGUAUAAAUAUCUAUAGAUCAAUGAUUUAUUGAAUCAAACAGGGGACACAUUCAGCUUGCGAUACGAAACAAUUCAUUUUCAACGCGCUGAUCGCGAGAUGGUUAGCUCAAAGCUGCCGUUGUUAUUCAAUAUGCAAUUUCUUAUUUAAAUCGCGAGAAGAAGGCGGAGAGUAAAUACAAUCGUGAUUUGCAGCUAAGAACCGUUCUCGUGUAACAUGUUUCGCGAGCAACGCUGACCUCGGGACACGCGAGGAAAACGUCCAACUGAGAAUGACAUUACCUAGUAAGUUUCUCCUGCUCGGACCUAGUCGCUAUAAUUUGACCCUUUGUACGACCGAUGCCCGGCGAUACCGAACCACUUCCGGCUACUAUCCAAUCAACAUCAGGACCUGAGAAAAGUGUAAUCAAAUAUUGAAUAAAGCCUGAAGAUAGCGGAAA